rnacentral:rRNA from 1 species
UGGGGAAUCUUGGACAAUGGGGGCAACCCUGAUCCAGCGACGCCGCGUGAGGGAGGAAGGCUCUUGGGUUGUAAACCUCUUUUCUCAGGGAAGAAGCAAAUGACGGUACCUGAGGAAUAAGCAUCGGCUAACUCCGUGCCAGCAGCCGCGGUAAUACGGAGGAUGCAAGCGUUAUCCGGAAUCAUUGGGCGUAAAGCGUCCGCAGGUGGCGCUUCAAGUCUGCUGUCAAAGACCGGAGCUCAACUCUGGAAAGGCAGUGGAAACUGAAGAGCUAGAGUGCGGUAGGGGUAGAGGGAAGUCCCAGUGUAGCGGUGAAAUGCGUAGAGAUUGGGAAGAACAUCGGUGGCGAAAGCGCUCUGCUGGACCGCAACUGACACUCAGGGACGAAAGCUAGGGGAGCGAAAGGGAUUAGAUACCCCGGUAGUCC